GACGAACGCUGGCGGCAUGCCUAAUACAUGCAAGUCGAGCGAACAGAUGAAGUGCUUGCACUUCUGACGUUAGCGGCGAACGGGUGAGUAACACGUAAGGAAUCUACCUAUAAGCGGGGGAUAACAUUCGGAAACGGGUGCUAAUACCGCAUAAUAUCUUCUUCCGCAUGGAAGAAGAUUGAAAGACGGCUCUGCUGUCACUUAUAGAUGACCUUGCGGUGCAUUAGUUAGUUGGUGGGGUAAUGGCCUACCAAGACAAUGAUGCAUAGCCGGCCUGAGAGGGUGAUCCGCCACGUUGGGACUGAGACACGGCCCAAACUCGUACGGGAGGCAGCAGUAGGGGAUCUUCCGCAAUGGGCGAAAGCCUGGCGGAGCAAUGCCGCGUGAGUGAAGAAGGCCUUCGGGUCGUAAAACUCUGUUAUCAGAGAAGAACAAAUUGUAGAGUAACUGCUACAGUCUUGACGGUAUCUUAUCAGAAAGCCACGGCUAACUACGUGCCAGCCGCCGCCGUAA
rnacentral:rRNA from 1 species